CAGCCGCCGCGGGAAUACGAAGGGUGCAAGCGUUAAUCGGAAUUAUUGGGCGUAAAGGGUGCGUAGGCGGUUUGGUAAGUCUCGUGUGGAAUCUUCGGGCUCAACUCGAAGUCUGCACGAGAAACUGCCGGGCUUGAGUGUGGGAGAGGUGAGUGGAAUUUCCGGUGUAGCGGUGAAAUGCGUAGAUAUCGGAAGGAACACCUGUGGCGAAAGCGGCUCACUGGACCAUAACUGACGCUGAUGCACGAAAGCUAGGGGAGCAAACAGGAUUAGAGACCCCAGUAGUCCCUGUCUCUUAUAC
rnacentral:rRNA from 1 species